UCCAGACUCCUACGGGAGGCAGCAGUCGAGAAUCAUUCACAAUGGGGGAAACCCUGAUGGUGCGACGCCGCGUGGGGGAAUGAAGGUCUUCGGAUUGUAAACCCCUUUCAUGUGGGAGCAAAUUAAAAAGAUAGUACCACAAGAGGAAGAGACGGCUAACUCCGUGCCAGCAGCCGCGGUAAUACGGAGGAUGCGAGCGUUAUCCGGAUUUAUUGGGUUUAAAGGGUGCGUAGGCGGAGUGUCAAGUCAGCGGUAAAAUUUCGGGGCUCAACCCCGUCGUGCCGUUGAAACUGCAUCCCUUGAGUGCGCGAGAAGUAUGCGGAAUGCGUGGUGUAGCGGUGAAAUGCAUAGAUAUACCGCAGAACUCCGAUUGCGAAGGCAGCAUACCGGCGCGCAACUGACGCUCAUGCACGAAAGCGUGGGUAUCGAACAGGAUUAGAUACCCGAGUACCG
rnacentral:rRNA from 1 species